rnacentral:rRNA from 1 species
UACGGAGGGAGCUAGCGUUGUUCGGAAUUACUGGGCGUAAAGCGUACGUAGGCGGUUACUCAAGUCAGAGGUGAAAGCCCGGGGCUCAACCCCGGAACUGCCUUUGAAACUAGGUAGCUAGAAUCUUGGAGAGGUCAGUGGAAUUCCGAGUGUAGAGGUGAAAUUCGUAGAUAUUCGGAAGAACACCAGUGGCGAAGGCGACUGACUGGACAAGUAUUGACGCUGAUGUACGAAAGCGUGGGGAGCAAACAGG